rnacentral:rRNA from 1 species
UCAGGACGAACGCUAGCGGCGUGCCUAACACAUGCAAGUCGAACGAGAAGUCUUGAAAUGAUCCUCGGGAUGAAUGGAUAGAUGGACAGUGGCGGACGGGCGAGUAACGCGUGAGUAACCUGCCCAUAAGCGGGGGAUAGCCGAUGGAAACGUCGAGUAAUACCCCAUGACAUAAUUGAGUCGCAUGGCUUAAUUAUCAAAGAUUUAUCGUUUAUGGAUGGACUCGCGUCUGAUUAGAUAGUUGGUGAGGUAACGGCUCACCAAGUCGACGAUCAGUAGCCGAACUGAGAGGUUGAUCGGCCGCAUUGGGACUGAGACACGGCCCAGACUCCUACGGGAGGCAGCAGUGGGGGAUAUUGCGCAAUGGGGGGAACCCUGACGCAAGCAACGCCGCGUGCAGGAAGAAGGUCUUCGGAUUGUAAACUGUUGUCGCAAGGGAAGAAGACAGUGACGGUACCUUGUGAGAAAGUCACGGCUAACUACGUGCCAGCCGCCGC